rnacentral:tRNA from 1 species
GGGGGCAUAGCUCAGCUGGGAGAGCAACAGACUGAAGUCAUACGAUUUCUGGAGGUCCCCGGUUCGAUCCCGGGUGCCCCCA